UAACGAACGUUCUGUGAAAAU
rnacentral:piRNA from 1 species